UUCUGCUCAUGUGUCGCCUGCAGGAAACCUUCUCUGACUCUGAAUCCUAGGGAAGGUCACUCUGCCCUAGACCCUUACAGAGUAUAGAGUACUUUCCUUAGAGUGUUUAAUGCAAACAUGAAUAUUCUUCUCCUUUGCUAGACUAAGCUCUACAAGGUCAGGGUGUCAUUUUGUUCACCUGUGCAUCUCCAAAUGUAGUACCCUGUUGGGUAUGCAGCAUGGUGUAGAUGAUGUGCUCAUCAUAUGAUAUGAAGUAGCAUGGUGUAGACUAUGGGCUCACGGCCUGGUGUGGGGCAUGGUAUAGACUGUCUGCUCAUGGCCUGGCGUGGAGCCGGGUGUAGACUGUGCGCUCACGGCCUGGUGUGGAGCAGGUGUAGACUGUGCGCUCAUGGCCUGGUGUGGAGAAUGGUGUAGACUGUGCACUCAUGGCCUGGUGUGGAGCCGGGUGUAGACUGUGCGCUCUGGUGUGGAGAAUGGUGUAGACUGUGCGCUCAUGGCCUGGUGUGGAGCCGGGUGUAGUGUAUAAAACCAUUGCAUGUUCUGCAGUAUGUACUCAAUACAUUUUCUAGAAUGAGUGAACAUUUUUGUUCUCAAAUUGACUGCUCUCAUGGGCAAGUUCCAGUUAUUGUGGCCCCAAGCUCUGUAGUGCCAUGUCUUAAAAUGGCUUUGCUUCCUAUUUGUCAUCAUCCCAAGGCCAGACUCAGAAGAAAAUAAAUCCAGGACCUCUACCCAUUUAAACAAACCUCUACUCAUUAUAGAAACUUCAUCUUGUUUCCUUUGGAAGAUUUCAGUCAUCUUGAAGUCCACAAGCUCCCAAUGUGAAUUAUUACGAACCUUGGGGAGGAGAACUCCUAGAACAUCAAGGCAGGAGAGAGGCCGUAAGGGAAUAGUAACAGGGGCAUACAUGGAGUACACACCGCUUUGGGUUUGAGGGCCUAAAUUCUCCACACACAUCAGCCAUUUAAUCCUCCCAGUAACCCUAGGAGGGAGGUGCUGUUAUCAGUCACCCACGUGGUUCAGAUGAGGACACUGAGGCAUGGAGGAAUAGCUCGUCAAUGUAAAAGAGGGAUUUAAACCCAGUCAUUUGAGCUUCAUAACUGUACUCUUAGUCAUGAUGCUAAACUGUCCCUCAAGACAAGAAAGUGUCUCCCAGACUUUCUUCCAUGAGUUUUAUGCCGUCUUUUCAGAGGUGGGCAGCUGUGUUCAGUUCUGUUUAUAAACCCGGAUGACACCCUUCCAUAUAUCAAUUUGUUUUCUCACAAAGCAUUUCCUAACACUUAGUACAUACUGAGUAUCGCACUUAGCACCGAGGAUAUAGAGUUAAGCAUACUUCAUUCUUGUCUAGAGGUAGAAAUGUAUUUAUAUGUAAUCUCCGUAUUAAUCUAUAUACAUGUAUCAAUAUACAUAUGAUAAUCAAUAUGUAUAUAUGUAAAUCUCUGUCUCGCUCUACCUAUCUAUACAUGUAUCCAGACUAGAGGUAGAAAGUAUAAGUUUUAACAAAUUAUUAUGGCAUCUAGCAGACAGGGGUUAGUAAAUGGAUAUCUUUGAAAAAGUGUAGGAGAAGAAAUCCUCAUGGAGGAGUUAACAUCUGGAUGUGUAAGGAUAAAAAUGAAUUUGGCAGGCAAAUGAGUAGAGAAGAACACUGAAGGAAGAAGGAGCAGCAUGGCA
ensembl:lncRNA